UACGAAGGGUGCAAGCGUUAAUCGGAAUUACUGGGCGUAAAGCGUGCGUAGGCGGUUUGUUAAGUCUGUCGUGAAAUCCCCGGGCUCAACCUGGGAAUGGCGAUGGAUACUGGCGAGCUAGAGUGUGUCAGAGGAUGGUGGAAUUCCCGGUGUAGCGGUGAAAUGCGUAGAGAUCGGGAGGAACAUCAGUGGCGAAGGCGGCCAUCUGGGACAACACUGACGCUGAAGCACGAAAGCGUGGGGAGCAAACAGG
rnacentral:rRNA from 1 species